AAACCAACAGGGAUUGCCCCAGUAACGGCGAGUGAAGCGGCAACAGCUCAAAUUUGAAAUCUGGCCCCUAGGGUCCGAGUUGUAAUUUGUAGAGGAUGCUUUUGGUGAGGUGCCGCCCGAGUUCCCUGGAACGGGACGCCGCAGAGGGUGAGAGCCCCGUCUGGCUGGCCACCGAGCCUCUGUAAAGCUCCUUCGACGAGUCGAGUAGUUUGGGAAUGCUGCUCAAAAUGGGAGGUAUAUGUCUUCUAAAGCUAAAUAUUGGCCAGAGACCGAUAGCGCACAAGUAGAGUGAUCGAAAGAUGAAAAGCACCUUGAAAAGAGGGUUAAACAGUACGUGAAAUUGUUGAAAGGGAAGCGCUUGUGACCAGACUUGGGCGCGGCGGAUCAUCCGGGGUUCUCCCCGGUGCACUUCGCCGUGUUCAGGCCAGCAUCAGUUCGGCGCGGGGGAAAAAGGCUUCGGGAACGUGGCUCCUCCGGGAGUGUUAUAGCCCGUUGCAUAAUACCCUGCGCUGGACUGAGGACCGCGCAUCUGCAAGGAUGCUGGCGUAAUGGUCACCAGCGAC
rnacentral:rRNA from 1 species